UGUUGUAUUAGCAGGUGACAAAAAAAAGCCGGUCACGGAGGGCUCAUCGUACUUCUUUGUACCACGGACAUCACGAGAAAUCAGGACUACUUCCAUGUAGCUCGAAGUCUCUUGUUCAACUAAAAGCGUAAUGCUGUCAAUAGUAGAUGAAGGCUACUUGCUUCUUUGAGCAUAGAGACGAGUGAAAAAGUUUGCAGACGAACUUCUCUGAGCAUAGUGACGAGUGACCAGGUUUGCAGACGUUUCGCAUCGAGACACGAAUGGCUGCAUUGCAGAUACCGGUACAGUGGCUGUACAUUGGGAUUUUGGUCUACCUGAAUUAUGGGUGUGCACGAACCUGUGGCGCGCAACCAGUCGCGACAUGGAAAGACUGUGAUCAAACCAACACCAGUACUUGGCAAGUCGAUUGGACUUUUCAAUUUGACCGCAAAACCUGGAAAGACGCCAACAAAUCCUGUCGGUCACUUGGCGGAUCACUGGCUACUGUUCAGACAAUUGCUCAUCUGCAGUGCGCCAACUCUACAGUCAUGGGAACGACCGCUACGUGGGUAGGCCUGACUGGUACAUGGAGCCCCGGGAACUGGAGUGCUUGGAAAUGGGAAGCUGCAUUGUCGACCGUUACCGCACAACUUCCAUGGGCAUCAACAUUUCCAGCGAUUCGGGAUGAUUACAUAUACGGAUACUAUCAGCCAGAAAUUUCCAGAUUACGGACGUGGGACAAUAACCAUACACUUCGGUACCUCUGUCAACGAUAUGUGCCUAAAAAUAACUGGUACGUGUGCUCUGCGAACAAAUCUCUUGGACGCAUGGAGAUACUUUACAAUCCAACGCCUAAGACAUAUGAUGAGGCCACCACCGAUUGCGCAGGGAGAUUCAGCAUUCUCGCCAAUAUCCAAAGCUUAAACCAUGCAGAGUGCGCAAGGUCAGUGCUUGGACCACGAAAUGGUCAAUGCAGCAGUUCCUCAAGUGAUAAUUGCAAGAAUGCCUCGUUUGGCUGCAAAGCCAAUACAUGCAAUGUGUGGGUUGCUCUACAACGAACAUCUAAAAAUUGGACAUGGGUGUUACCAGUUCCAUCCAUACCGAGCACAGUUCCCUGGGUAAAUUCAACAACAGGAGGUAGUGGAGAAAGAAAAUGUGGUUAUUAUUCACCUGAAAAAGAGGGUUUCGGAGUCGAAUCUUGCACAAUGAAGCUAAGUUUCUACUGUCAAAGAUAUACACCAAAUGAACCCUCCAACAUAGCUGUCGACUCCACUGAAACUGAGAUCUUCGCACGUUUAGUGCAGCCACAGGUACUUCGGGAAUGGAUAUCUCGAUUCUGCUUUGUGUACACGGACAACAUUAAAGCGGCUGUCACAACUUCGGUUUGUGGCACAAGUGAGUCUACCGUUUUGGCAAACCUGAGUACCAACACGACGUACCGAGUCCGAGCAUUCUACACCACUACGACUGGAAUAAACAGCAGCAUCUCCCAAGAUGUCUACAUUACAACAUUGCCUAAAGUGAAAUGGGAUGCCUGUCCUCUAACCAGUGCUCGCACGUGGCAAGUCGAUUGGACCUUUCGACUUGGACGUCAAACUUGGACAGAAGCAAAAGCAGAAUGUCAAUCAUAUGGCGGAUCACUAGCGACUGUGCACACAAUGGCUCAGGUGACGUGUGCAAACCGGACAGUGGAGGGAACUACCGCUGUGUGGGUAGGCUUGACUGGUAUAUGGACAGCAGGAAAUUGGAGUGCUUGGAAAUGGGAAGUGGCAUCGUCCACCCGUACGACGAGACUUCCCUGGUCACCCCAGUAUACACUUCCGGUUAAAAAUUCUAAUUAUACUUACGGGUAUUUGGAUCCAAACAAGGGCUUAGUGAACUGGA